UUUUGAGUUUGUAUAUAUUUGUGGUAUACUCCUAGGUACUUGCCUGAAAACUAGCCCACAUAAACAACUUUGGGAAAUUAAUAUUGCUGUGGAAAUUAUUUGCUCUUAGCAUUCUGAUUGCAGUUGUUAAAUGUAGGAUUUUUGUCUGUGGAGUUUGGGGUUAAAGUCUGUUAUUACUGUCAGAAGCCAGUUACUGCAGAAUUUUCUCUUCUCCCUCACAACAUUGUGGUUUUGUGAAACGUAGGACCAUUGUUAGAAGGCAGGUGUGCUAUUUUAUUCUCUCCACGGCAUUUGGUUCAAUGCUUUGUACAUAAACUCUGCAAAUUGCUAUUUCUUUCUUCAGUUGCUGUAAUAAAUUUGAUUAUAUCACUUCCUUACUUAAAUCCCUUCAAUAUUUCCUGUUAGAUUUAGAAUAAACCCUACUUGGGCCUUCCCCAACUUCUCCAGUUUUUAAUGUCACUUUUACAUUCCAGCCACUCUGGUGUGCUUUCUAACAAAAACUUUUUGUGAAUGUUGUUUCUUCCUAGGACAUGCCCUCUAAUUUUGAAAUGACUAACUUCUUAUCCUCAAAAUUUUGACUUAAGCUUCUGGAAAAAAUAACUCCCCUCUAAUAUUUUAUCACAGCACUGUGUUUAUUUCUACCAUUGCUAUUCCUAUAAUUUAUUUCUAUCAAGGAUGCAUUUGACCAUAAGUAAAACAAUUUUUGGAAUUCCCUUGUGGUUCAGUGGGCUAAGGAUCCACUCUUGUCACUGCUAUGGCUCAGGUCAUUGCUGUAGUGCAGGUUGGAUCCCUAGCCCCGGAACUUCUCACUCUGUGGGCAGGGCCAAAAAAAUUUAAAAGAAAAAAAGGGGGGGACUUCCCAUUGUGGCUCAAUGGGUUAAGAACCCAGUUAGUAUCCAUGAGGAUGUAGGUUUGAUCCCUGGCCUCAGUGGGUUAAGGAUCCAGCAUGGCUGUGGCAUAGGCUGGCAGCUGCGGCUCUGAUUCCCAGCUGACCCCUAGCCCAGGAACUUCCAUAUGUUGGGGAUACAGCCCUAAAAAGAAAAGGGAAAAAAGUGGCUUAAACAGAGCUUAUUUUUCUCUUAUAACGGACAAACAAUAGACAGUAUAGGGCUGGUACAGUGGCUCAAGGAUAUGGACCCAAGUUUCCUGAGUCUCCACCCUCCUCAUAUUGGCUUUGUCAUCUCCUCAUUAUAAGAUAGCCAUGGGAGCACCAACUUUGUAAUGCAGCACCAAACUGUCUGCCUUAAAGACAAGGAAGGAAAAGUGGUGAUGGCUUAUCUUGGAUUGGAUUCACCUCAAUACAGGCCCUGAGACAAGGACACAAACAAAGAUAGUUUGUGAAGAAACUGGUGGAAUAGUGGGAAAGUGAGACAGGAAAUGGGGGGGGGGGGCUGGCUAAUCAGUAAAGGAUUCAUUAUUAAGCCCCUUUACUCGUUAGGGUUACUGAAGCUGGUCCCACUGGGAAGCUCCUAACCAGUAUAAAACAUGUGCCUUAAAAUCAUCCUACCUGAAGGACAAAAGCUGGAUAUUUACAUCUCCUUUUAGUCAUUGAUUGAGUGUUCCUAGUGCAGAGGGGUUGUAGGCAGCAAAACAGAUUUCGUUUUGCACAGGUAGAAAAACCAUCAGACAUAGAAAAUGGAAUACUGGAGUUCCCGUCGUGGCGCAGUGGUUAACGAAUCCGACUAGGAACCAUGAGGACGCAGGUUCAAUCCCUCACCUUGCUCAGUGGGUUAAGGAUCCGGCGUUGCCGUGAGCUGUGGUGUAGGUUGCAGACGCAGCUCGGAUCCCGAGUUGCUGUGGCUCUGGCGUAGGCCGGUGGCUACAGCUCUGAUUCGACCCCUAGCCUGGGAACCUCCAUAUGCCGCGGGAGCGGCCCAAAGAAAUAGCAAAAAGACAAAAAAAAAAAAAAAAAAAAAAAAAAA
rnacentral:lncRNA from 1 species